CCUACGGGAGGCAGCAGUGGGGCAUAUUGGGCAAUGGGCGCAAGCCUGACCCAGCAACGCCGCGAGUGGGAAGACGGUCCUCUGGAUUGUAAACCACUGUCCCCAGGGACGAAGAUGACGGUACCUGGGGAGGAAGCUCCGGCUAACUACGUGCCAGCAGCCGCGGUAAUACGUAGGGAGCGAGCGUUGUCCGUAAUUACUGGGUGUAAAGGGAGCGUAGGCGGGGAUGCAAGUUGGGUGUCAAAACUACCGGCUCAACUGGUAGUCGCACUCAAAACUGCAGCUCUGGAGUGAAGUAGAGGCAGGCGGAAUUCCUAGUGUAGCGGUGAAAUGCGUAGAUAUUAGGAGGAACACCAGUGGCGAAGGCGGCCUGCUGGGCUUUUACUGACGCUGAGGCUCGAAAGUGUGGGGAGCAAACAGGAUUAGAUACCCGUGUAGUC
rnacentral:rRNA from 1 species